rnacentral:rRNA from 1 species
AGCGGCGGAUGGGUGAGUAACACGUGGGGAACCUGCCCCUAAGUCUGGGAUACCAUUUGGAAACAGGUGCUAAUACCGGAUAAUAAAGCAGAUCGCAUGAUCAGCUUUUGAAAGGCGGCGUAAGCUGUCGCUAAGGGAUGGCCCCGCGGUGCAUUAGCUAGUUGGUAAGGUAACGGCUUACCAAGGCGACGAUGCAUAGCCGAGUUGAGAGACUGAUCGGCCACAUUGGGACUGAGACACGGCCCAAACUCCUACGGGAGGCAGCAGUAGGGAAUCUUCCACAAUGGACGCAAGUCUGAUGGAGCAACGCCGCGUGAGUGAAGAAGGUUUUCGGAUCGUAAAGCUCUGUUGUUGGUGAAGAAGGAUAGAGGUAGUAACUGGCCUUUAUUUGACGGUAAUCAACCAGAAAGUCACGGCUAACUACGUGCCAGCAGCCGCGGUAAUACGUAGGUGGCAAGCGUUGUCCGGAUUUAUUGGGCGUAAAGCGAGCGCAGGCGGAAAAAUAAGUCUAAUGUGAAAGCCCUCGGCUUAACCGAGGAACUGCAUCGGAAACUGUUUUUCUUGAGUGCUGAAGAGGGGAGUGGAACUCCAUGUGUAGCGGUGGAAUGCGUAGAUAUAUGGAAGAACACCAGUGGCGAAGGCGGCUCUCUGGUCUGCAACUGACGCUGAGGCUCGAAAGCAUGGGUAGCGAACAGGAUUAGAUACCCUGGUAGUCCAUGCCGUAAACGAUGAGUGCUAAGUGU